GGCCAUCCAGUUGAUUGCUAUUUUUUCACUAAAUUUAGCUAGUAUCUCAUCAAUUCUUGGAGCUAUUAAUUUCAUAACCACUAUUAUUAAUAUACGAUGGGUAGGUAUAUUAAUAAAACAACCAACCCCCUUUAUUUGUAUGGUCUCUUUUUAUCACUGCAAUUUUACUUCUCCUUUCUUUACCAGUCCUUGCUGGAGCAAUUACUAAGCUAUUAAUCAAUCAAAAUUUUAACACCACAUUUUUCAACCCAAGGGGAGGAGGAGACCCAAUUUUAUACCAAUAUCUAUUUUGAUUUUUUGGACAUCCAAAAGUUUGUAUUCUAAUUUUACCAGGAUUUGGUAUAAUUUCUCACAUCGUUUCCCAUUUCUCCCUAAAAAAAGAAACUUUUGGAAGCCUUGGAAUAAU